UCUUACAGCCGACCAUCUGAGGAUAGAACAAUUCCCUUUAAAUGUCAUAGCUGAGCGCACAAAACUCUCCAUCGAGGAUGUUGAACAUCUUCUCAUGAAGAGUUUGUCUGUUCAUCUUAUUGAGGGUAUCAUUGAUCAAGUUGAUGGAACAGUACAUGUAUCCUGGGUACAACCUAGAGUUCUGGGGAUCCCACAAAUUAAAUCCUUACGGGAUCGGCUUGACAAUUGGUUGGACAAAGUGCACACUGCAUUGCUAUCAAUUGAAGCUGAAACACCAGAUCUUGUUGCAUCGUGAAUCUUUAUUUUUCUUUCCUCGCGUCUUUUUCACCCCAUUAUAACAAUUUCCUUGGAGAAAAAUGAUGAAAUGGUGACAAAUAGAGAGCGUAGUGUAAGCCUGUGUGAGCAAUAGGGAGCAACUGUGUACGCGCUCUUUUCCAUAUCUUGUUAACUUCUAUCACCAACAUUUUUCUAUAAGAAGCAGCUUAUUGUGUAAUUUUGGGUUAAGCGGUCAGGGAGACUUUGGGCCAGUGGCGACAUUUUUACUUUCUUUGAAUGGUAACAAUGAACUCUCUGUAUUCUUCCCUUUUGAGAAACAAUUAGAUGAUAAUCUUUUGUGUCUUUUUCCGAUUUCAGAUAUUCAUUACCUUGUUAGCAACAUUGCAUUACUUAAAAGUGAAUGUAAUAGUUUCUGUUGA